UACAGAGGUCUCAAGCGUUGUUCGGAUUUAUUGGGCGUAAAGCGUGCGUAGGCGGCGAGGUAAGUGAGGUGUGAAAUCCCAGGGCUUAACCCUGGAACUGCACUUUAUACUGCCUUGCUCGAGGGCUGGAGAGGAGACUGGAAUUUACGGUGUAGCAGUGAAAUGCGUAGAGAUCGUAAGGAAGACCAGUGGCGAAGGCGAGUCUCUGGAAAGCUGC
rnacentral:rRNA from 1 species